GCAUAUCAAUAAGCGGAGGAAAGAAACCAACCGGGAUUGCCUCAGUAACGGCGAGUGAAGCGGCAAGAGCUCAAAUUUGAAAUCUGGCCCCUCCGGGGUCCGAGUUGUAAUUUGCAGAGGAUGCUUCGGGUGCGGCCCCUGUCUAAGUGCCCUGGAACGGGCCGUCAGAGAGGGUGAGAAUCCCGUCUUGGGCAGGGUGCCCGUGCCCGUGUGAAGCUCCUUCGACGAGUCGAGUUGUUUGGGAAUGCAGCUCUAAAUGGGUGGUAAAUUUCAUCUAAAGCUAAAUACCGGCCGGAGACCGAUAGCGCACAAGUAGAGUGAUCGAAAGAUGAAAAGCACUUUGAAAAGAGAGUUAAACAGCACGUGAAAUUGUUGAAAGGGAAGCGCUUGCGACCAGACUCGGCCCCGGGGUUCAGCCAGCACUCGUGCUGGUGUACUUCCCCGGGGGCGGGCCAGCGUCGGUUUGGGCGGCCGGUCAAAGGCCCCAGGAAUGUGUCGCCCUCCGGGGCGUCUUAUAGCCUGGGGUGCAAUGCGGCCAGCCCGGACCGAGGAACGCGCUUCGGCACGGACGCUGGCGUAAUGGUCGCAAACGACCCGUCUUGAAACACGGACCAAGGAGUCUAACAUCUACGCGAGUGUUCGGGUGUCAAACCCGUACGCGCAGUGAAAGCGAACGGAGGUGGGAGCCCCGCAAGGGGCGCACCAUCGACCGAUCCUGAUGUCUUCGGAUGGAUUUGAGUAAGAGCGUAGCUGUGGGGACCCGAAAGAUGGUGAACUAUGCCUGAAUAGGGCGAAGCCAGAGGAAACUCUGGUGGAGGCUCGCAGCGGUUCUGACGUGCAAAUCGAUCGUCAAAUUUGGGUAUAGGGGCGAAAGACUAAUCGAACCAUCUGGUAGCUGGUUCCUGCCGAAGUU
rnacentral:rRNA from 1 species